ACGUGAGGCUCAAGAUGGGCCCUCCUCCGAGUAAUUGGAGCGAGUUGCACUUGGCUAUAUCGGCGAAACCUAAAUCCUGAGCUGGUGGAAGGAUACGGCAACGCCGAGGAAAGACCCCAUGAGAUAGUUUUCUUAUCUCACGGGGAAUCCGUAGAGACUAUACGCCAGGCCCCUAUUAAAGUUGGGUGAAGACAUAGUCCGACACUCCGGGAAACUGGAGA
rnacentral:ncRNA from 1 species